UACGUAGGGGGCGAGCGUUGUCCGGAAUCAUUGGGCGUAAAGAGCGUGUAGGCGGCUUGGCAAGUCUGACGUGAAAGCCCGCGGCUCAACCGCGGAUUGUCGCUGGAAACUGCCUCGCUAGAGUCCGGAAGAGGAGAGCGGAAUUCCUGGUGUAGCGGUGGAAUGCGCAGAUAUCAGGAAGAACACCCGUGGCGAAGGCGGCUCUCUGGGACGGUACUGACGCUGAGACGCGAAAGCGUGGGGAGCGAACAGG
rnacentral:rRNA from 1 species